CAAUAGCGUAUAUUAAAGUUGUUGCAGUUAGAACGCUCGUAGUCGGAUUUCGGGGCGGGUCGACCGGUCUGCCGAUGGGUACGCACUGGCCGACGCGUCCUUCCUUCCGGAGACCGUCUCACUCUUAACUGAGCGGAGGCGGGAGACGGAACGUUUACUUUGAAAAAAUCAGAGUGUUUCAAGCAGGCAGCUCGCUCUUGCAUGGAUUAGCAUGGGAUAAUGAAAUAGGACUUUGGUGCUAUUUUGUUGGUUUCGAACACCGAAGUAAUGAUGAGAAGGGACAGUCAGGGGCACUCGUAUUCCGCCGAGAGAGGUGAAAUUCUCAGACCAGCGGAAGACGAACCACUGCGAAAGCAUUUGCCAGGGAUGUUUNCACUGA
rnacentral:rRNA from 1 species